GUAGGCUGGGUGAAAUCUUUCUUUUCCUUCCCCAUCCAAGUUGCCGAUUCCGAGGGGAGCUGACAGGGACGCGUCCCGGCCCAAAGAUCUCCGACAGCGAUGUCAACUCCUCCCCUCCAUACAAAUGCCGGCGGACGCCUCUCUCUCUCUCUCUCUCUCUCAAACCGAUGCCGCCCCCCACGGGUUGUUCUUGCGUUCUCUGAACCUGGGGGGAAGGACAGAGAGAGAGCGUGCCCGGAUUCAGCCUCUGGUCGGCCGGAGCAUCGCUGGUGGUAUACUGGUAUUGCCGCGCAGCUACGCACAAGUUGCGGAGCUCUUCUACAAGAAGAGCUCGGCGGUCGGAGGUACCUCGGCGCGCCCGGGUCCAAGAAGUGGAUACUCGCCAUGGACGGCGGCGAGAGGCCGGCGGCGACCCAGAAGAGACCCUUCCCGUAACCAAAGCUUUCUUCUCCCCCUGCUCCAUUGCUUUCUUGCUGCGCGUUUGGUGUUCUUGAUCCGUUCAAGCUUUGCUCCUUUCCACUCGGCGCGGCGCAGUCCGGAUGGAGAGCUCGUGGAGCUGCUGUGGCAGGACGGCGCCGUCGUGGCGCACUCGCAGGCGGCGCAGCGGGCCUUCGCCGGCGCCGGCAACACGGGCGCGAGCGGCGUCACCGGAGAGGCGGCGGCGUGGCUCCCGGGAGGCGGCGCGCUGGGCGGGGACGUGUACUCGCAGCUCUGGCAGAGCAUCGCGCAGGCCGACGGCCGCGUGGGCGCCCGCCCGCCUGCCAGGAGCGGGAACAGCGCCGCCGGGUCGAGCCGGACGGCCGGCGAGGUCGGGUCCAGCUUCUGCGGCAGCAACCUCGUGGCGGCGGCGCGGCACCUGGACGACGACAUCGACGACGUCGCGGCGUUGCCGCCACCGCCACCGCCGGGGGACGAGCCGGGCGCGUGCGGGGGCGCGUCCACGUCCAGCGGCUGGAACAGCAAUGCGCUGCUCAAGAGGAGCAGGGACGAGCUCGAUUUCCGCAGCGAGGAUGCCGACUUGGACACCGUCGACGAGACACCGGCGUCGAGGCGGCCGGCGUCCAAGCGCAGGACGCGCGCCGCCGAGGUCCACAACAUGUCGGAGAGGAGGAGAAGGGACCGGAUCAACGAGAAGAUGCGAGCUUUGCAAGAACUGGUGCCCCACUGCAACAAGACCGACAAAGCAUCAAUACUAGAUGAGGCAAUUGAGUACUUGAAGUCACUCCAAAUGCAAGUUCAGAUCAUGUGGAUGAGUACUGGGAUGGCGCCCAUGAUGCUCCCAGGUGCUCACCAACUCAUGCCUCCAAUGAGCAUGGGCUUGAAUUCUGCCUAUAUGCCACCGGCGGCGCAAUUCCUCAGUCAGAUUCAGACAGUACCACCCUUCCUCAGUAACCCGCUGCCGAAUCAGAUUCCUCAGAUCUCACCUGCAUCUACCAGUGCACCCAAUGUAACAAACCAAGUUCAAAGCAACCGCAUGGCCCAGCCGAGAAAUCCAUUUCUUCAUCCUAAUGAUGCAUUGACAUCAACACCUCAGGGUCCCAAUUCAUUGCAGUUACCGAGUUUAUUUGGCUAUGGACCACAGAUGGCACAAGAGAACGCGAUUCAAGAGUUACUGGCUUGCACUGCUGCUCCAGCUUUGGACGCGGAGCAGCUGUCUUCCUCUGACGGAACAGGAACCUAACACCACCACAAUCCAGUAAUAUGUUUUACAGGCAAGCAGCUAGGGGGUAUGAACAGAAGAAGUCAGAACAAGUGGUCCUACAGGAAUCAAUUGGAUACUAACAUGCAGUGUGCAGUAAGGCCAUGGGCAGAUCAUGCAACCAUGAGAUUUUUGGGAAGCUCUGAGGAGCCAACACGUUUGUGGCAGCACUGUGCCGACACGAUACGAUUCUUAUCUGAAGAAUAGUCUUGGAAACUUGAACAUCACCUUUCUGUUUCUGGAACGAUUUUGUCUACAGGAGACGAACUUGGCAAGGCCAUCAGGAGAUGUGAUCCUGCUGAUGCUUUGGACACGGAGGUGACAUGCUGGAUUAGGAUCAUCACAGAAGCACAAGGAUAUAAAGAGUCCUGGUUUCCCUCCUCUUUUUGCUGAUGUUACACCACUGUUACAUUAUCCCAGAUGAGACUCUGCAUCUGGUGAGUUGAGUUCUUGUGGGUCUCUUCCAGCUUUACUUCAGCUAAUGAUUCUUCAAGUGGGCGGCCGCAAGGAACAUGAUAAUGUUUGCACGGGGUGACGCUUAUUGAGAUUGAAACAAAACAGCAUCAUGUCGGAUUCGUACAUGAAGCACAUCAUCAACAUUAUUGGCAUUUGGACAUGCGCAAAUAUCGCGCGAAUUGUGCGCAUGAACGGAUGUCUGCCACAUCUAUAUGGAUCUCACGGCACUACUUGUUGAGAAAUUUGUCGGUCCAUAUCGCAGUUGCUUACAUGUAAUGAUACACGCUUCAUUGUCCUAAGUUAAUAGGACAGUGACGGGUCAGUCCAUCUGGUUUGCAUAUCAUCUGUGGUAAUGUGCGUCCAUCACAGUCCCUGUCGGUUGGGAUUGGAACUUGGUUUUUUCACUUUGGGUUGGGGUUUGGUUCUCAUGCUCAAUCAGGUUGAGUAUUAUUUUCUUUAUAUUGGAGGACGUUUUCUUACCAAACGAUUGAAAGCGCAUCUCAUCAAAAGAAAAGAAAAAGGUUGGAGGCAAGAUGCCAAGAAAGGAAAGAAAAACAGAAAAGGAGAGAAUAAAAAUAAUGGCUUCGCCCGGGUUCGAACCGGAGA